rnacentral:rRNA from 1 species
CCUACGGGUGGCUGCAGUGAGGAAUAUUGGUCAAUGGACGAGAGUCUGAACCAGCCAAGUAGCGUGAAGGAUGACUGCCCUAUGGGUUGUAAACUUCUUUUAUAUGGGAAUAAAAUGUUCCACGUGUGGGAUUUUGUAUGUACCAUAUGAAUAAGGAUCGGCUAACUCCGUGCCAGCAGCCGCGGUAAUACGGAGGAUCCGAGCGUUAUCCGGAUUUAUUGGGUUUAAAGGGAGCGUAGGUGGAUUGUUAAGUCAGUUGUGAAAGUUUGCGGCUCAACCGUAAAAUUGCAGUUGAAACUGGCAGUCUUGAGUACAGUAGAGGUGGGCGGAAUGCGUGGUGUAGCGGUGAAAUGCUUAGAUAUCGCGAAGAACUCCGAUUGCGAAGGCAGUUCACUGGACUGCAACUGACACUGAGGCUCGAAAGUGUGGGUAUCAAACAGGAUUAGAUACCCUUGUAGUC